rnacentral:rRNA from 1 species
UACGUAGGGGGCAAGCGUUGUCCGGAAUUAUUGGGCGUAAAGAGCGCGUAGGCGGUCCGAUAAGUCGGCUGUGAAAGUCAAAGGCUCAACCUUUGAAAGCCGAUGGAUACUGUGUGGCUAGAGUACGGAAGAGGCGAGUGGAAUUCCUGGUGUAGCGGUGGAAUGCGCAGAUAUCAGGAGGAACACCAAUAGCGAAGGCAGCUCGCUGGGACGUUACUGACACUGAGGCGCGAAAGCGUGGGGGGCAAACAGG